ensembl:lncRNA
CACAUAUUACGCACUGCAUUGUUUGGUAAACGCGCAGAUUCAGCUGUUUAUAUAUCAAUCAGUAUGGUGACUAAGUCAGGGAAAGCUAAAUCUAAGUCUAGAUAUACAGAUGUACACACAAUUUUAGAAUAAAUUGAUUGGGAAAGUGAGACAGAGAUUGUUGUAGGACAAUUCAUCUAGCGAUUGUGGAGGAAUAUUUUUUGAAUGGGAGAGGACAUCGUUUUGGACUGUGACACUGACUCCGAAAGGCAGCCCCCAGGGCCAAGGGUUCCACCCCCCACUGAAGCUGGUUCAUCCAGCUCCUGCCACAAGUGGUGUUCAUCUGCCCAAAUUUAUUUCUGCAGGCAUGGAUGUGCCUUAGGACCAAAAGGGCACAGCAUGGAGGCGUCGCUGUGUUCUUUGCAAAAUUAAGUCCCCCAUCACCUGCGCUACAUGCUUGGUGACCCUCUGCUUUACAGCAGAAAGAGACUGCUAUGGCACCUGGCAUCAGCAGCACAAUAUUGUGUAGAGCUUUGGCAAAGUGGGGUGGGGUUGUAUCCUUCCUGUUUGGCCCUGUCCGGGGGUCUCAUCGGAUGGGGCCACAGUGUCUCCUGACCCCUCCUGUCUCAGCCUCCAGUAUUUAUGCUGCAGUAGUUUGUGUCGGGGGGCUAGGGUCAGUUUGUUAUAUCUGGAGUACUUUUUCUGUCUUAUCCGGUUUCCUGUGUGAAUUGAAGUAUGCUCUCUCUAAUUCUCUCUUUCUCUCUCUCGGAGGACCUGAGCCCUAGGACCAUGCGUCAGGACUUCCUGGCAUGAUGACUCCUUGCUGUCCCCAGACCACCUGUCCUUGCUGCUGUUCCAGUUUCAACUGUUCUGCCUGCGGCUAUGGAACCCUAACCCUAAACUGUUCAUAUUUACUCUUGAGGUGCUGUCCUGUUGCAUCCUCUACAACUACUGUGAUUAUUAUUAUUUGACCCUGCUGGUCAUCUAUGAAUGUUCUGUUAUAAUUUCCACACGGCACAGCCAGAAGAGUACUGGCCACCCCUCAUAGCCUGGUUCCUCUUUAGGUUUCUUCCUAGGUUUUGAACUUUCUAGGGAGUUUUUCCUAGCCACCGUGCUUCUACACCUGCAUUGCUUGCUGUUUGGGGUUUUAGGCUGGGAUUCUGUACAGCACUUUGAGAUAGUAGCUGAUGUACGAAGGGCUAUAUAAAUACAUUUGUUUUGAUAGAGGACUGAGGGUCUUCCAAAUAUUGAAAUUGUGUAAAUAGUUACCCAUGUUAUUUUGUAAAUGUAUAUAAUUAUUUUCUUCAUAAUUUUUUCUCCAUUUUUUGGGGAGGUGUGUUAGAAUACCAUUUUGGUAUUUUGUAUAUAGUCAUUCCAUUCGAAAUGUAUAACUUCACCAAUUUGGCCACUUGGGUACAUUUGGGCUACUUGUGUGGGACACUUGGGUGACUUCAUGAUAAAUGUAAUGUAGCACACUCAUUUUGGAAGUUAUCAUUCUGAAACUUUGCACAAGUACUGUUGCUCUCUUAUGUUUUUCACUGAAAUUGUCCCCAUCAUCCUAUCUGAAUGUUUGUUUUGUCUUGUUCAUUUGAAAGAUGAUACAAAAAAACGUAUGUUUUUUUUCAUUGUGUUAUAUUCUCCUACAUUCAAUUCACAUUUACACAAACUUCUGGGUGUUUUCCUUCAAAUGGUACCAAUAAUAUGCAUGUCCUUGGUUCUGUGCCUGAGCUACAGGCUGUUAGAUUUGGGUAUGUCUUCAGGUGGAAAUUGAAAAAAGUAGGGGGGUAGCUCUAAGAGGUUUUAAUAAGCCCUAAAAGAAAUUCAAAGGUCUCAAGUGAAACUAUUUCAUAGGGAC